rnacentral:rRNA from 1 species
GACGAACGCUGGCGGCGUGCUUAACACAUGCAAGUCGAACGGUAAGGCCCUUCGGGGUACACGAGUGGCGAACGGGUGAGUAACACGUGGGUGAUCUGCCCUGCACUCCGGGAUAAGCCUGGGAAACUGGGUCUGAUACCGGAUAGGACUCCGGACUGCAUGGUCUGGGGUGGAAAGCUUUUGCGGUGUGGGAUGGGCCCGCGGCCUAUCAGCUUGUUGGUGGGGUGAUGGCCUACCAAGGCGACGACGGGUAGCCGGCCUGAGAGGGUGACCGGCCACACUGGGACUGAGAUACGGCCCAGACUCCUACGGGAGGCAGCAGUGGGGAAUAUUGCACAAUGGGCGCAAGCCUGAUGCAGCGACGCCGCGUGAGGGAUGACGGCCUUCGGGUUGUAAACCUCUUUCAGCAUCGACGAAGCGAAAGUGACGGUAGGUGCAGAAGAAGGACCGGCCAACUACGUGCCAGCCGCCGCAGUAA